GAUGAACGCUAGCUACAGGCUUAACACAUGCAAGUCGCGGGGCAGCAUGGGGGUUGCUUGCAAUCCCCGAUGGCGACCGGCGCACGGGUGAGUAACGCGUAUCCAACCUGCCCUUCACCACGGGAUAACCCGGCGAAAGUCGGACUAAUACCGUAUGUUGUCCAUUGACGGCAUCCGAUUUGGACGAACGGUUUGGCGGUGAAGGAUGGGGAUGCGUCCGAUUAGCUGGACGGCGGGGUGACGGCCCACCGUGGCGACGAUCGGUAGGGGUUCUGAGAGGAAGGUCCCCCACACUGGAACUGAGACACGGUCCAGACUCCUACGGGAGGCAGCAGUGAGGAAUAUUGGUCAAUGGGCGUAAGCCUGAGCCAGCCAAGUAGCGUGCAGGAUGACGGCCCUAUGGGUUGUAAACUGCUUUUAUGCGGGGAUAAAGUGGCCCACGUGUGGGUUUUUGCAGGUACCGCAUGAAUAAGGACCGGCUAAUUCCGUG
rnacentral:rRNA from 1 species